rnacentral:tmRNA from 1 species
GGGGCCGUUCUUGGAUUCGACGGGGGUAGUUCGAGCAUGAGCAGCGAGUAGUGGGGACGCGUCCGCUUCAUCAACGCUAAAGCCUAUUAAACGGCAAACAACAAAACAACUACGCUUUCGCAGCUUAAUAACCUGUGUGCGUGCUUCUACCCUGCAUCGCCCAUGUGACAGGGAUAGGGGCUAACAAGUAGUGGGAUACGCCGCUUGGUCUCCGCCUGGGGUCAACGGAAGAAGAUAAUCAG